UCUACGGGAGUCAGCAGUGGGGGAUAUUGCACAAUGGGGGAAACCCUGAUGCAGCGACGCCGCGUGUAGGAAGACGGUCCUCUGGAUUGUAAACUACUGUCCCCAGGGACGAAGAUGACGGUACCUGGGGAGGAAGCUCCGGCUAACUACGUGCCAGCAGCCGCGGUAAUACGUAGGGAGCGAGCGUUGUCCGGAAUUACUGGGUGAAAAGGGAGCGUAGGCGGGGAUGCAAGUUGGGUGUUAAAUCUACCGGUUCAACUGGUAGUCGCACUCAAAACUGCAGCUCUUGAGUGAAGUAGAGGCAGGCGGAAUUCCUAGUGUAGCGGUGAAAUGCGUAGAUAUUAGGAGGAACACCAGUGGCGAAGGCGGCCUGCUGGGCUUUGACUGACGCUGAGGCUCGAAAGUGUGGGGAGCAAACAGGAUUAGAUACCCGGGUAGUC
rnacentral:rRNA from 1 species